AAUAUUAUAAGUGACGGAUCCAAUUUAGUAAAAAUAAAUAUAAUGAGGGAAUUUGAACCCCUGCACCCCUGCUAAAUCCUGAGUUAAUGGCUUCCAUUCCCGUCGGCUCCACUGAAUAUUGAGAUCGGAAACUUGGGUUGCGACUGUGAUCGUUGAGACCGAACCAUGCCUGGACCUGGGCCGCACAUGCUCUACGCCAUGGGCUCAGGCACCGCUCUGACGACUCUCACCGACGGCCGAUUCAGCCCCCACCAUACCCUCAUUUACACCGUCAACGCCUUCUUCGGCCCCGACAUCGGCUCCUUCUCCGAUUGGCUGUCCUCCGUUCUCGGUUUCUCAGGAUCUUCCGUUCCCGACGCAAUCCAUCAUCCCGUUUUCUACAUUCUCAUUCUGGGUCUUCCUCUCUGCCUCUUCUACUCCUGGCUCUCCUCUUUUCUACUCCAAAAGGGCCUCCUCGAGUCCGUCUCUGGGGUAUCUCUUAAUAGAAGGCAAUGCUUGUUGCUAAUCUCAGCUGGUUCUUUUUCACACUUCUUUCUUGACCAUUUGUUUGAGGAAAACGGGCAUUCGUCAACAUACACUUGGAUAUUGAGCACUGGUUGGUGGGAGAACCGAGCACCAAUCAAUCCAGAUGCUGUUAUGGUUGUUGGAUUCUUGUGCACUUGCUUAAUUGGCGGCUUUGUUUACAUUAACAGGAAGACAAAACGCAGCAGUAUGGAUCUAAACAGCAGAGUUACACAGCCAGUUAGCUAGAUCUUAGGAGUAUGCAUAGCAUAGCAUGGCAUAGGCUUAUGAACAAAUGUGAGAAAAAGAAAGAAGAAACCACCUCUGGGUUGUAGAACUUAGGGGGUCCUUUUGCAACACCAAAAUUUCCUGGAUCCAACAGGUUCACCGGGUGUUUGAAGUCGACUGAUGGACCGGCGGUUGAACAGAGCAUGAAGCCGAUCACUCCACUGAAUUUGGAUCAUUUAACAGGGAAAAGAAAGGUAUCAGAAAACUUCAGAUUGUGCAGAAACAUAAAAGUAAAGAAUUUUGGAAAUGAAACAAAGCUAUAUAUAGGAUUUGUUUUCGGUUGGGUUUACCUUGGAUAUGAAGGAACAGAGGUCCAAGCAUAGUUUACAGAGCCUUUGAAGAUGUCACGGCAAAGAGUUAUGGUAUCUUCCAUGGCGAAAUUGUUUUGCCAUAUGCUGUCAGCCGGAGUCGACAUUACGCCACCGGGCUUCAAAGCCGUUGCCAUUGAUUUAACAUCAUAGGUGGCUGGAGGAACAGAUUUGAUGAAGGCCACACCUAAAACAACGAGCAACCAUUAUGACAAUUAGAAACAACACGAAACACAAAAUCCGACAACAUUCCUCGAACGACAUGUAGUUCUAUGUUUCAUACCGUCGCCUAUGCAUACAUUCACACGAGGAUCCUUGUACCCGAUAGCAAUGUCUGGGAAAUACCUUUUGUAAACCUAAAUGAAACACCAUUUUAUUAAUUAGUAAGGAAAAACAAAUUCUUUUCA